UUGGAGGGCAAGUCUGGUGCCAGCAGCCGCGGUAAUUCCAGCUCCAAUAGCGUAUAUUAAAGUUGUUGCGGUUAAAAAGCUCGUAGUUGAAUUUCGGGGUUAGUAGGUUGGUCAUGCCUCUGGUAUGUACUGGUCUCACUGAUUCCUCCUUCCUGAUGAGCCGUAAUGCCAUUAAUUUGGUGUUGCGGGGAAUUUGGACUGUUACUUUGAAAAAAUUAGAGUGUUUAAAGCAGGCUAACGCUUGAAUACAUUAGCAUGGAAUAAUGAAAUAGGACGUUCGAUCCUAUUUUGUUGGUUUCUAGGAUUGACGUAAUGAUUAAUAGGGAUAGUUGGGGGCAUUAGUAUUCAAUUGUCAGAGGUGAGAUUCUUGGAUUUAUUGAAGACUAACUACUGCGAAAGCAUUUGCCAAGGAUGUUUUCAUUAAUCAAGAACGAAAGUUAGGGGAUCGAAGACGAUCAGAUACCGUCGUAGUCUUAACCAUAAACUAUGCCGACUAGGGAUCGGAUGAUGUUAAUUUUUUAAUGACUCAUUCGGCGCCUUACGGGAAACCAAAGUGUUUGGGUUC
rnacentral:rRNA from 1 species